GACGAACGCUGGCGGCGUGCUUACCACAUGCAAGUCGAACGGAAAGGCCCUGCUUGCAGGGUACUCGAGUGGCGAACGGGUGAGUAACACGUGGGUGAUCUGCCCUGCACUUCGGGAUAAGCCUGGGAAACUGGGUCUAAUACCGGAUAGGAGCCAGUUUUAGUGUGAUGGUUGGAAAGUUUUUUCGGUGUAGGAUGAGCUCGCGGCCUAUCAGCUUGUUGGUGGGGUAAUGGCCUACCAAGGCGGCGACGGGUAGCCGGCCUGAGAGGGUGGACGGCCACAUUGGGACUGAGAUACGGCGCAGACUCCUACGGGAGGCAGCAGUGGGGAAUAUUGCACAAUGGGCGCAAGCCUGAUGCAGCGACGCCGCGUGGGGGAUGACGGCCUUCUGGUUGUAAACUCCUUUCGCUAGGGACGAAGCUUUUUGUGACGGUACCUAGAUAAGAAGCACCGGCUAACUACGUG
rnacentral:rRNA from 1 species